UACAGAGGGUGCGAGCGUUGUUCGGAAUUACUGGGCGUAAAGCGCGCGCAGGCGGCUUUCUAAGUCCGUCGGUGAAAGACCGGGGCUCAACCCCGUGUCAGCCAUGGAUACUGGGAGGCUGGAGACAGGUAGAGGCAAGCGGAAUUCCGGGUGUAGCGGUGGAAUGCGUAGAUAUCAGGAGGAACACCUGUGGUGUAGACAGCUUGCUGGACCAUAACUGACGCUGAGGCACGAAAGCGUGGGUAGCAAACAGG
rnacentral:rRNA from 1 species